AAAAUGCAGGCGCUGUCGGAGCUGACGAGUGAGAGUGUGAAUAUGGGAGUGUGGCUCUGUGCGUGAGUGCUGAGCGCCAGACAGACUCGUGGAAGAAACUGGGUGGCUGUGUGUUUGUGUGUGAUUGUGCGCACCGGAUAUGGCCAUGUGAGUUGGUUCAUUCUUGGUCCCGUGCCCCUUCUGUUGGGUAAAACUUGGAUCUGGUCCGAGAGACAAGUUCAAGGAUGCGUUUAUAGCAGUUAUCUUGGGGGAGGGAGUGAAGCCAUAUCCCAGAGGUUCUGAAGUCCUUCUGCCCAGGUCUAAACACAGCCCUUAAUUUCCUCUUUAGCCUUUUGUGAUUAUGGGACUCUCCACCAAACCAAAACGAAAACACAAGGAAGGCAUCUUUUUUUAUAGGAUGUUUAUAUUUUGGCCCAGAAGAUAAGAAAUAAAACCAUGAGAAGGACCAUGAACUCUAGGGGUGUCUCUCUGCCCAUCCAUCAAUCAUCAUGCUCUUGAUCACAUACUGA